UUGACCUCGGAUCAGGUAGGACUACCCGCUGAACUUAAGCAUAUCAAUAAGCGGAGGAAAAGAAACCAACAGGGAUUGCCCCAGUAACGGCGAGUGAAGCGGCAACAGCUCAAAUUUGAAAUCUGGCCCCCCGGGCCCGAGUUGUAAUUUGGAGAGGAUGCUUUUGGCGCGGCGCCGUCCGAGUUCCUUGGAACAGGACGCCACAGAGGGUGAGAGCCCCGUACGGACGGACGCCUAGCCUCUACAAAGCUCCUUCGACGAGUCGAGUAGUUUGGGAAUGCUGCUCAAAAUGGGAGGUAAAUUUCUUCUAAAGCUAAAUACCGGCCAGAGACCGAUAGCGCACAAGUAGAGUGAUCGAAAGAUGAAAAGCACUUUGAAAAGAGGGUUAAAAAGUACGUGAAAUUGUUGAAAGGGAAGCGCCUGUGACCAGACUUGCGCCCCGCGGACCACCCGGCGUUCUCGCCGGUGCACUCCGCGGUGCGCAGGCCAGCAUCGGUUCUCCCAGGGGGACAAAGGCCGCGGGAACGUAGCUCCUUCGGGAGUGUUAUAGCCCGUGGCGGCAUGCCCCUGGGGGGACCGAGGACCGCGCUUCGGCAAGGAUGCUGGC
rnacentral:rRNA from 1 species